rnacentral:rRNA from 1 species
UGGGGAAUAUUGCACAAUGGGGGGAACCCUGAUGCAGCGACGCCGCGUGAGUGAAGAAGUAUUUCGGUAUGUAAAGCUCUGUCAGCAGGGAAGAAGAAAGACGGUACCUGACCAAGAAGCCCCGGCUAACUACGUGCC